rnacentral:tRNA from 1 species
GCGGAUGUGGUGGAAUGGAAGACACGCUAGAUUUAGGUUCUAGUAGCGAAAGCUGUGGGGGUUCGAGUCCCUUCAUCCGUA